GUAGGUGGCAAGCGUUGUCCGGAAUUAUUGGGCGUAAAGCGCGCGCAGGCGGUCCUUUAAGUCUGAUGUGAAAGCCCACGGCUCAACCGUGGAGGGUCAUUGGAAACUGGGGGACUUGAGUACAGAAGAGGAAAGCGGAAUUCCAAGUGUGGCGGUGAAAUGCGUGGAGAUUUGGAGGAACACCAGUGGCGAAGGCGGCUUUCUGGUCUGUAACUGACGCUGAGGCGCGAAAGCGUGGGGAGCAAACAGGGAUUAGAUACCCUGGUAGUCCACGCCGUAAACGAUGAGUGCUAAGUGUUAGGGGGUUUCCCGCCCCUUAGUGCUGCAGCUAACGCAUUAAGCACUCCGCCUGGGGAGUACGGCCGCAAGGCUG
rnacentral:rRNA from 1 species